rnacentral:rRNA from 1 species
GAUGAACGCUGGCGGCGUGUCUAAUACAUGCAAGUCGAGCGAACAGACGAGGAGCUUGCUCCUCUGACGUUAGCGGCGGACGGGUGAGUAACACGUGGAUAACCUACCUAUAAGACUGGGAUAACUUCGGGAAACCGGAGCUAAUACCGGAUAAUAUAUUGAACCGCAUGGUUCAAUAGUGAAAGACGGUUUUGCUGUCACUUAUAGAUGGAUCCGCGCCGCAUUAGCUAGUUGGUAAGGUAACGGCUUACCAAGGCAACGAUGCGUAGCCGACCUGAGAGGGUGAUCGGCCACACUGGAACUGAGACACGGUCCAGACUCCUACGGGAGGCAGCAGUAGGGAAUCUUCCGCAAUGGGCGAAAGCCUGACGGACCAACGCCGCGUGAGUGAUGAAGGUCUUCGGAUCGUAAAACUCUGUUAUUAGGGAAGAACAAAUGUGUAAGUAACUAUGCACGUCUUGACGGUACCUAAUCAGAAAGCCACGGCUAACUACGUG